CGUGGAGACAGGUGGUGCAUGGCUGUCGUCAGCUCGUGUCGUGAGAUGUUGGGUUAAGUCCCGCAACGAGCGCAACCCUCACCUCUUGUUGCCAUCAGGUCAUGCUGGGCACUCUAGAGGAACUGCCCCGGUCAACGGGGAGGAAGGCGGGGAUGACGUCAAGUCAUCAUGCCCCUUACGUCCUGGGCUACACACGUGCUACAAUGGCCGGUACAAAGGGAUGCCACACCGCGGGGUAGAGCUAAACCCAAAAAGCCGGUCUAAGUUCAGAUUGGAGUCUGCAACUCGACUCCAUGAAGGAGGAAUCGCUAGUAAUCGCGUAUCAGCACGGCGCGGUGAAUACGUUCCCGGGCCUUGUACACACCGCCCGUCACACCACGAAAGCCUGCUGUACUCGAAGUCGCUGAG
rnacentral:rRNA from 1 species